GUAGGUGGCAAGCGUUGUCCGGGAAUUAUUGGGCGUAAAGCGCGCGCAGGCGGUUCUUUAAGUCUGAUGUGAAAGCCCACGGGCUCAACCGUGGAGGGUCAUUGGAAACUGGAGAACUUGAGUACAGAAGAGGAAAGCGGAAUUCCACGUGUAGCGGUGAAAUGCGUAGAGAUGUGGAGGAACACCAGUGGCGAAGGCGGCUUUCUGGUCUGUAACUGACGCUGAGGCGCGAAAGCGUGGGGAGCAAACAGGAUUAGAUACCCUGGUAGUCCACGCCGUAAACGAUGAGUGCUAAGUGUUAGGGGGUUUCCGCCCCUUAGUGCUGCAGCUAACGCAUUAAGCACUCCGCCUGGGGAGUACGGCCGCAAGGCUG
rnacentral:rRNA from 1 species